CCUUACACAUGCAAGUCGAACGGUAACAUGGCCGCAAGGUGCUGACGAGUGGCGAACGGGUGAGUAAUACAUCGGAACGUGCCCGAUCGUGGGGGAUAACGCAGCGAAAGCUGUGCUAAUACCGCAUACGAUCUACGGAUGAAAGCGGGGGAUCGCAAGACCUCGCGCGGACGGAGCGGCCGAUGGCAGAUUAGGUAGUUGGUGGGGUAAAGGCCUACCAAGCCGACGAUCUGUAGCUGGUCUGAGAGGACGACCAGCCACACUGGGACUGAGACACGGCCCAGACUCCUACGGGAGGCAGCAGUGGGGAAUUUUGGACAAUGGGCGCAAGCCUGAUCCAGCCAUGCCGCGUGCAGGAUGAAGGCCUUCGGGUUGUAAACUGCUUUUGUACGGAACGAAAAGGUUUCUUUUAAUACAGGGAACUGAUGACGGUACCGUAAGAAUAAGCACCGGCUAACUACGUGCCAGCAGCCGCGGUAAUACGUAGGGUGCGAGCGUUAAUCGGAAUUACUGGGCGUAAAGCGUGCGCAGGCGGUGAUGUAAGACAGAGGUGAAAUCCCCGGGCUCAACCUGGGAACUGCCUUUGUGACUGCAUCGCUGGAGUGCGGCAGAGGGGGAUGGAAUUCCGCGUGUAGCAGUGAAAUGCGUAGAUAUGCGGAGGA
rnacentral:rRNA from 1 species